rnacentral:rRNA from 1 species
CCUACGGGUGGCAGCAGUGAGGAAUAUUGGUCAAUGGGCGUAAGCCUGAACCAGCCAAGUCGCGUGAGUGAUGAAGGUUCUAUGGAUCGUAAACCUCUUUUAUAAGGGAAUAAAGUGUGGGACGUGUCCUGGUUUGUAUGUACCUUCUGAAUAAGGAUCGGCUAACUCCGUGCCAGCAGCAGCGGUAAUACGGAGUAUCCGAGCGUUAUCCGGAUUUAUUGGGUUUAAAGGGUGCGUAGGCGGCAUUUUAAGUCAGCGGUGAAAGUCUGUGGCUCAACCAUAGAAUUGCCGUUGAAACUGGGAGGCUUGAGUAUGUGUGAGGCAGGCGGAAUGCGUAGUGUAGCGGUGAAAUGCGUAGAUAUUACGCAGAACCCCGAUUGCGAAGGCAGCCUGCCAAGCCAUGACUGACGCUGAGGCACGAAAGCGUGGGGAUCAAACAGGAUUAGAUACCCCAGUAGUC